rnacentral:rRNA from 1 species
UACGGAGGGUGCAAGCGUUUGUCCGGAAUCACUGGGCGUAAAGGGCGCGUAGGCGGCUCAUGAAGGCUGUGGUGAAAGUCCGGGGCUCAACCUCGGAUCGGCCGUGGCGACUCGUGGGCUGGAGCACUGUAGAGGCGGGUGGAAUUCCGGGUGUAGCGGUGGAAUGCGUAGAGAUCCGGAAGAACACCAGUGGCGAAGGCGGCCCGCUGGGCAGUGGCUGACGCUGAGGUGCGAAAGCGUGGGGAGCAAACAGG